rnacentral:lncRNA from 1 species
UUUCUUAACCCAAAACCCAAAGAUCCAAAGCCCAAAGUCUACGAAUAAAAUUCCAAAAAUCCAAAAGCCUACAAACAAAAUCAAAAAAAAUCCAAAGUCCACAAAUAAAGAUCCAAAACCCAAAGAUCCAAAACCCAAAGUCUAUGAAUAAAAUUCCAAAAAUCCAAAAAGCCCACAACCAAAAUCCCAAAAAAUCCAAAGUCCACAAAUAAAGAUCCAAAACCCAAAGAUCCAAAAUCCAAAGUCCAUAAAUAAAACCCAAUCAAAUCUACCAAACCU